GAGAGAAAUAAGCUUUUUGUGCGUAUGGAACAUUUCUGAGCUCUUAUUUCAGCUCAUGAAACAUGGGACCAACACUUCACAUGUUGUGUUUAUAUUUUUAUAUGUGGUUAUUUGUAUAAUUGUCUAUAGAUGGGAAAGCGGACAAUGUCACGAAAACGAUGCACACGCUUCAAUUGGGCAGAAGUCUGUAAAUUGUGAUUCUGGAUGGCUAGAUAGCUACCAACAAUGACAUGAAACUGCCAUGUGGGGAAUUGUAUUCUGAAAGAAGUCUGCUGAACCACUAGACCAUGUCAACAAUUCUAUCCUUCUGUUUUUCCUGGAUGGGAGGAUUCAUCACAGAUCUAUUUUGAUUCAUUUUGGCUUGCUGGUGUUUGUCUCAUGUAUGGAUGGUGCCCGGACAGUGGAUUAAAUAUUGUUGAUUUUAGACAGUGAGUUGCAAGACACUAUCAUUAAACCUUUUCUAGCCACA